UCAGCGGCGGACGGGUGAGUAAUGCCUAGGAAUCUGCCUGGUAGUGGGGGACAACGUUUCGAAAGGAACGCUAAUACCGCAUACGUCCUACGGGAGAAAGCAGGGGACCUUCGGGCCUUGCGCUAUCAGAUGAGCCUAGGUCGGAUUAGCUUGUUGGUGAGGUAAUGGCUCACCAAGGCGACGAUCCGUAACUGGUCUGAGAGGAUGAUCAGUCACACUGGAACUGAGACACGGUCCAGACUCCUACGGGAGGCAGCAGUGGGGAAUAUUGGACAAUGGGCGAAAGCCUGAUCCAGCCAUGCCGCGUGUGUGAAGAAGGUCUUCGGAUUGUAAAGCACUUUAAGUUGGGAGGAAGGGNUGCAGAUU
rnacentral:rRNA from 1 species